UAGGAAUUGUCAAGCAGAAAUUCCAACAGCAGAGCUCCCAAGUGACUGGCAUUCAGCAGGGCCAGAAAGUACACCAUCUCACUGGAAUAACAGAAGGGGGCCUUCUGAAAGACACUGGUUGAAAAGACUUGAUGCGUGUGCUCUUCUGGAAAAGAGAACCUACAGAAUUAGAGGGUCAACUAAAAUGCUUGACAAGAAUGAAGAUAAAUGCAAAGAUGGCAUGUCCAAGGAAUUUUAAAAGGUGUAGACCUCCUGAUUGAAGACUGUUGUGUAUCUUAUUCUCUUAGCCAAUAAAUUGCUG
rnacentral:lncRNA from 1 species